GCCCCCGUAGCUCAAUUGGUAGAGCAACGGCCUUUUAAGCCGGUGGCUGCAGGUUCGAGUCCUGCCGGGGGCA
rnacentral:tRNA from 1 species